rnacentral:rRNA from 1 species
UUCAGAGAUUACGGCUCAGUAACACGUGGAUAACCUACCCUCAGGUGGGGGAUAACCCCGGGAAACUGGGGAUAAUACCCCAUAGACCAGGGACGCUGGAAUGCCCCCUGAUCGAAAGGUCCGCCGCCUGAGGAUGGGUCUGCGGCCGAUUAGGUUGUUGUUGGGGUAACGGCCCAACAAGCCUUUGAUCGGUACGGGUUGUGAGAGCAAGAGCCCGGAGAUGGAUUCUGAGACACAAAUCCAGGCCCUACGGGGCGCAGCAGGCGCGAAAACUUUACAAUGCGAGAAAUCGUGAUAAGGGAACCCCGAGUGCCCGUAAAUUCGGGCUGUCCAUCAGCGUAAAAAACUGGUGAAGAAAGGGCCGGGCAAGACCGGUGCCAGCCACCGCGGUAAUACCGGCGGCUCGAGUGGUGGCCACUAUUACUGGGCUUAAAGCGUCCGUAGCUGGAUUGUUAAGUCUCUUGGGAAAUCCGCCGGCUUAACCGGCGGGCGUUCAGGAGAAACUGGCAAUCUAGGGACCGGGAGAGGUGAGAGGUACUCCAGGGGUAGGAGUGAAAUCCUGUAAUCCUUGGGGGACCACCUGUGGCGAAGGCGUCUCACUAGAACGGCUCCGACAGUGAGGGGCGAAAGCUGGGGGAGCAAACCGGAUUAGAUACCCGGGUAGUCCCAGCUGUAAACGAUGCGCGUUAGGUGUAUCGGUGACCACGAGUCAUCGAGGUGCCGAAGGGAAACCGUGAAACGUGCCGCCUGGGAAGUACGGUCGCAAGGCUGAAACUUAAAGGAAUUGGCGGGGGAGCACCACAACGGGUGGAGCCUGCGGUUUAAUUGGACUCAACGCCGGGAAGCUCACCGGAUAAGACAGCUGGAUGAUAGCCGGGCUGAAGACUCUGCUUGACUAGCUGAGAGGAGGUGCAUGGCCAAUCGUCGAACG